rnacentral:sRNA from 1 species
GUUCUGGAACCUUCCAUUCAUAAUCAGCUAUUGUUUGAUGUCAAGGGAUUCAGGUGGGAGAGUCAAAGGACGGAUGACAGCACUGGUCCAAAAGCUUAUGAGCAAGAAAAUUAUCUCAUCCAGAUAACAGAGGUUAACCAAGACUGUCUGUCCACCAUUUGUCU